GCUUGUCUCAAAGAUUAAGCCAUGCAUGUGUUAGUAUAAACGCCUUUAUACUGUGAAACUGCGAACGGCUCAUUAUAUCAGUUAUAGUUUAUUUGAUACUUUUCGACUAUUGGAUAACCGUAGUAAUUCUAGAGCUAAUACAUGCGAAAAGACCCGACUUUUGGAAGGGUUGUAUUUAUUAGAUACAAAACCAAUACGGAGCAAUCCGUUUCUUGGUGAUUCAUAAUAACUUUGCGGAUCGCAUGGCCUUGUGCCGGCGAUGAAUCAUUCAAAUUUCUGCCCUAUCAACUUUCGAUGGUAAGGUAUUGGCCUACCAUGGUUACCACGGGUAACGGGGAAUUAGGGUUCGGUUCCGGAGAGGGGGCCUGAGAAAUGGCCACCACAUCCAAGGAAGGCAGCAGG
rnacentral:rRNA from 1 species